rnacentral:rRNA from 1 species
CCUACGGGAGGCAGCAGUGGGGAAUAUUGGACAAUGGGCGAAAGCCUGAUCCAGCAAUGCCGCGUGAGUGAUGAAGGCCUUAGGGUUGUAAAGCUCUUUUACCAGGGAUGAUAAUGACAGUACCUGGAGAAUAAGCUCCGGCUAACUCCGUGCCAGCAGCCGCGGUAAUACGGAGGGAGCUAGCGUUGUUCGGAAUUACUGGGCGUAAAGCGUACGUAGGCGGUUAUUCAAGUCAGAGGUGAAAGCCUGGAGCUCAACUCCAGAACUGCCUUUGAAACUAGAUAGCUAGAAUCUUGGAGAGGUGAGUGGAAUUCCGAGUGUAGAGGUGAAAUUCGUAGAUAUUCGGAAGAACACCAGUGGCGAAGGCGACUCACUGGACAAGUAUUGACGCUGAGGUACGAAAGCGUGGGGAGCAAACAGGAUUAGAUACCCUGGUAGUCCACGCCGUAAACGAUGAUAACUAGCUGUUCGGGCUCUACGAGCUUGAGUGGCGCAGCUAACGCAUUAAGUUAUCCGCCUGGGGAGUACGGUCGCAAGNUUAAAACUUAAAUGAAUUGACGG